CAGCGCCCUCACGACGCUGACUGUGAGUCGCCGAACUCCUGGCCCGGACCACAGAGGCACGUCGAUGCACUCAGUCCCAGGUCAUACACCUGUGCAUUGAUAAUAACUCAAAUAGCGACAAGAGCUGUUUGUUUAUGAAUUAGUCAUGAACGAGAAGCUAGGGCUGGACAUUUGCGUGAAACCGAUGAGAACCAGAGACCAGGAUCUGGCAUUUACGGAAGAACCGGAAGGAGCCAGAACCUGCUGUGUGUACAAGGACACAUUGAAACCUAAAACUGGGAACCGGGGUAUGACAUUUGUGAAAGAACCAAUGGUAACCAGGUUCCGGCAUCUGAUAUUUGUGAAGACCCAAUGAGAGCCAGGAACAAAGAUCUGGUGUUCGCACAACAAUCAAUGGUGUUAAGAAACCAUGCGCGGGUGUUUACGGAAAAACUGAAAGUCAGGUUCCAGGGCAUCACCACGAAAAGGCCAACAGGAACCAGGUACCAACUUCGUGCCCCGGACAUAUGUGUGUCAGGAGCUCCAUGAUAUGGUCAUGAAAACGCCAAUGGAUAUCAGGAACCAGCAUUUAGAACCUGGUGCAUGUCUGGCGCGGCCUUCAUGCAAAUCAAUAAAAAAUCGAGUCAUC